ACGGAACGUUCGGAUAUGGUCGAGAUAUGGCCUUUUAAAAUAUUGAGUAGCGUCAACUACUUAAUAACCGGGUUCAAAUCCCGGCGUUUCGUAC
rnacentral:tRNA from 1 species